ensembl:snRNA U6 U6 spliceosomal RNA
UUGCUUCAGCAGCACAUUUACUAAAAUUGUACAGAGAAGAUUAGCGUGGCCCCAACACAGGGAUGACACAUAAAUUCGUGAAGUGUUCUAUAUUAAA